GCGCCUCCUCCUCCAUUUAACAGGUAGGCGUGUGGAGCAGUGAGUGGAGGACAGAGUAAACACAUGUGCUGAUCUCAGAACUGCGGUCCGCGGCGGUGAGAGGGCAGCUCGGGGAGACAGGGGCUCUAAUCGGGGUGUGAGGAGGUGCUGGUGGUGGGAUGUGAGUGUGAGGAGGUGGUGUAACUGGUUAGUGGGGCAGUCCGGGGGAAGGCGGGUCCUGGAGGUUUGAAAUCAGAUCGCAGCUUCCCCAGCUGGAGCAGAGAGAGGCGUGUGAGCGGAAUCCUGUUCCUGGAGAGAGAGACAGCUUCCCGUUCUGGGGGCCUUUUUUCUCCGCAGCGCGCGCUCAGUCUACAGGAAAUGAGCGGUGAGCGGGGAACCGGACCGCGGCUCGCCCCUCUCUCUUUCUCUCUCUGUGUGAACUGAGUCCAUAAAGCGCCUCCAGCAGUCCUAAUCCGGCCCUCACUGCCGCCGCCGCGCGGAGCCGCUGGAGGAGAUCAGGGGCAGCAGGAGGCUGGGGUUGAUCUGGAAUCUUUCACUGUGAUCUCUGGGGACAUGAGCUGACACCACUCUGGCCUGGCUUUUGUGCUGUGCUCUGUGCAACACAACUCCCUCUCAACCUCAGAGCCAACCUCCUCUCCUUCAUACAGAACACAGAGACUAUACACACACACACACACACACACACAUAUACACACUGUGGUGUUGGCAGAGUGGCGGGCAUUGAGGCUCCGCGAGAUGGCUCCGCUGAGGAAUGUAAGAUGUCGGUGCUCCAAAAGGGGUUGGUGAGUCUGGGGGUGCUGGUACUGGCAGCUGGAGUAUGCAUCACAGCGUACGCAGGCAUUGUCGGCUUGGCUGUGUGCAGCCUAGGCCUCGUCAUUCUGAUCUCCUCCUUCUGCAAUGUUAUGAAGUCCAACAGUCACCUGACCAUUCCAGGUCACUUUCUGCUCCACCCACGCACUGGCACCCGCUACACCUAUGAGCAGGCUGUCGCUCUGCAGAGGAGGCUGGACAGGAUCCGUAGAGCAUCAGCAGAAGAGCGGCGCUCCAUUCAGCACUGCCCUACAACACCCAGCCUCCACAGCCUGCCUGAUACACCACCUCCUUGGGAUAUGGAGCCCCCGCCCCCCUAUGAGACUGUCAUGAAGACCACUACACCCCUCAACCAGCUAUGACCGUGUGAUGGUGAUGCUUACAUAUGUUACGAGCUGAAUGCUAGCAAAGUGGUUAACUAAACAAGUUGCUUGUAAGUAUUUAGCAUUUGUAUUGUCUGUAAAUUACUCAGGCUGAAGGAGAACCACAAGUGACCGCUGACUUUCGCCACGUCUUAUAUUCCUUCUCAUGUCUUCGUCAUAUAUAUUUGACUCACUGCUGUUCAUAUGGCUUUGAAAAACCACUUAAAAGGAAGUUUUUUAUUCCAGCCACUGCAGGAAACUGUGGUAUUCUUGUCAGACUGUUUAACAUGGAAAUCUCUGAAGACGGUAAAUGAGUCAUUAGUAGGAGUUACCAAGCUGUGGUUUUAAAAAGGGAGUGGGAAAUGUCAGAGUGUGCUGAUUUCUCUGCUCUAACGGAGCUACUAAACCUGGCAGUUAACAGGUUAAUUGAAUCAGGUAAACCAAACUGUGCAGGAAUCUGGCCCUCCAGAAUUGCCCAGCCCUGUUUUACAGGUUUUAUUGUUUUUUAGGAAGUAGCAACCCUGGCUUAGGGUCAGUAAACUAGAUCCACUAAAAUUGACUCAGGACAGUUUCUGGCCUAUAAAUGAGAAAUGGCUGUGUGUUUAGCACAUCAUUUGUUUUCUCAGUUGAUCAGGUUUUACACCAGGCAAAAAAUAUAACAUAUACAUUUAAUGUAUUAAACGAAUAAGGCAGUACACACAGUACAGGUCUAGCUGUUGAAUUGGUUAAGUGCCUUAAGGUUUGUAAUGGUGUGCAGUGCAGAUAAUCUGGCAGACUCUGAGUGGAGAAGAAAAGUGAAGUAAAGCUUACGUGUACCAUGCCUGGGAGAAACAUUUCUAAGUGCAGAGUGUUGAUUUAAUAAAUAGAUCAAAUUAUGGACCA
ensembl:lncRNA